GGCGAACGCUGGCGGCGUGCCUAAUACAUGCAAGUCGAGCGCAGGAAACUGACGGAACUCUUCGGAGGGAAGGCAGUGGAAUGAGCGGCGGACGGGUGAGUAACACGUAAGGAACCUGCCUCAAGGAUUGGGAUAACUCCGAGAAAUCGGAGCUAAUACCGGAUAGUUCAACGGACCGCAUGGUCCGCUGAUGAAAGGCGCUCCGGCGUCACCUUGAGAUGGCCUUGCGGUGCAUUAGCUAGUUGGUGGGGUAACGGCCCACCAAGGCGACGAUGAAUAGCCGACCUGAGAGGGUGAUCGGCCACACUGGGACUGAGACACGGCCCAGACUCCUACGGGAGGCAGCAGUAGGGAAUCUUCCACAAUGGACGAAAGUCUGAUGGAGCAACGCCGCGUGAGUGAUGAAGGUUUUCGGAUCGUAAAACUCUGUUGUAAGGGAAGAACACGUACGAGAGGGAAUGCUCGUACCUUGACGGUACCUUACGAGAAAGCCACGGCUAACUACGUGCCAGCCGCCGCGGUAACAC
rnacentral:rRNA from 1 species